CGGGGUGUAGCUUAGCCUGGUAGAGCGCCUGCUUUGGGAGCAGGAGGUCGGGAGUUCGAAUCUCCCCGCCCCGA
rnacentral:tRNA from 2 species